AUUGAACGCUGGCGGCAGGCCUAACACAUGCAAAUCGAGCGCGAGUCGGACGGGUGAGUAAUGUAUGUGGACUGCGCGUUAUAGGGGGGUAACUCCUGGAAACGGUAGCUAAUACCGCAUAUUCUCUCAUUACCCAUAUGGGAUUAGCUAGUAGUGGGGGUAAUGGCUCACCUAGGCGACGAUCCCUAGCUGGUCUGAGAGGAUGAUCAGCCACACUGGAACUGAGACACGGCCCAGACUCCUACGGAGGCAGCAGUGGGGAAUAUUGCACAAUGGGCGCAAGCCUGAUGCAGCCAUGCCGCGUGUAUGAAGAAGGCCCUAGGGUUGUAAAGUACUUUCAGUCGGGAGGCGUUACCGACAGAAGAAGCACCGGCUAACUCCGUGCCAGCAGCCGCGGUAAUAC
rnacentral:rRNA from 1 species